UUGAGGAGUGAAGAUCAGUUGAGCGUUUCUGUGACUCCGCCCAGCGGCUGCUCUUCUGAGAGGCACCGCUCUGACAGCUCUGUCUACUGGGAAACGCGCUAAAAGUCCUUCUGGAGGCUUUGCAUUUGAACUCCUAUGACUGGCUGCGGACUUGAAGGGAAUGACUUCCUGGACUUCCUGACAUCCAGGAAAAUUUUUUAUUGGACAGUAGAGAUCUAAUGGAAAGUGGAGAGGGAGGAGAUGAUAUGCAGCAAAAGGCCGAGCCGGAUGGUUGCUGUUCCAUGUGGAACAUGUUCUAUCAGGUGUAACAUCUACCAAUGGUUGUACAUAGACCUCCUCCACC